rnacentral:tRNA from 1 species
UCCCUGGUGGCUCAGAUGGUAAAGCAUCUGCCUGCAAUGCGGGAGACCUGGGUCCGAUUCCUGGGUUGGGAA